GAAAUGCGAUAAGUAAUGUGAAUUGCAGAAUUCAGUGAAUCAUCGAAUCUUUGAACGCACAUUGCGCCCGCUAGUAUUCUGGCGGGCAUGCCUGUUCGAGCGUCAUUUCAACCAUCAAGCCCUAGGCUUGUGUUGGGGGCCUGCAGCCGCUGCAGCCCACUAAAAGCAGUGGCGGGCUCGCUGUCAUUCCGAGCGCAGUAGUUACAUCUCGCUCUGGGCGUGGCGGCGGGCACUUGCCGUAAAACACUCUUUCUAAGGUUGACCUCGGAUCAGGUAGGAAUACCCGCUGAACUUAAGC
rnacentral:misc_RNA from 1 species